rnacentral:rRNA from 1 species
UACGUAGGGUGCAAGCGUUGUCCGGAAUUAUUGGGCGUAAAGAGCUCGUAGGCGGUCUGUCGCGUCGGAUGUGAAAAUCCAGGGCUCAACCCUGGACCUGCAUUCGAUACGGGCAGACUGGAGUUCGGUAGGGGAGACUGGAAUUCCUGGUGUAGCGGUGAAAUGCGCAGAUAUCAGGAGGAACACCUAUUGCGAAGGCAGCUCGCUGGGACGUAACUGACGCUGAGACGCGAAAGCGUGGGGAGCAAACAGG